rnacentral:rRNA from 1 species
CUACGGGGUGCAGCAGUGGGGAAUAUUGGACAAUGGGGGAAACCCUGAUCCAGCAAUGCCGCGUGUGUGAAGAAGGCCUGCGGGUUGUAAAGCACUUUCGGUUGGGAGGACUGCUUCUAGCACUAAUAUUGUUGGAAGUUGACGUUACCUUCAGAAGAAGCACCGGCUAGCUCCGUGCCAGCAGCCACGGUAAUACGGAGGGUGCAAGCGUUAAUCGGAAUUACUGGGCGUAAAGCGCGCGUAGGCGGCUAGAUCAGUCGGGUGUGAAAGCCCCGGGCUUAACCUGGGAACUGCAUCCGAUACUGUCUAGCUUGAGUACAGGAGAGGAGAGCGGAAUUCCACAUGUAGCGGUGAAAUGCGUAGAUAUGUGGAGGAACACCAAUGGCGAAGGCAGCUCUCUGGCCUGAUACUGACGCUGAGGUGCGAAAGCGUGGGGAGCAAACAGGAUUAGAUACCCGUGUAGUC